UGCAGAGCAAGCCUCUGUGAUUCCUGCCCAGCACCUGUGAGGCCUGACGUGUCAGUUCCCAAUAAAUGCUCUUCUGAUUUGUUUCCCGUACAGGCAAGGAGGCUUGGGUAGUGCAGAUUUGUGUAUUUCAAUCUUUGAAAGCUCUGAUGUAAUUUAGAAAUGAAAUCCAAUCAUGAGUCCAGGUAGAGAACGCCUGCUGUAAUCUACACUGUUGCUGGGACUGCGCAUUCUGUAUAUAACUGUGUUGGAUGAGUGACAGAUGAUUGUCCAGACUAGGACAGCGGCAUGAACAUGACUUUGGUUGGGAUUGCGGAUAGUUAGGGUUACCUCUGAAUCGUGUAGCUUUUAUGAGAGCAGCUGUGCAAGUGAAUCCACAUUAAUGCCUUGUCGUGGUGCCAUUCCCAGCGCCUGACGAUACGCUCUUCUAUUGUCUUAUUCUGGCAGGUUUUGACGUUUUAAAUUUUUUAAAGAAAUUUUAUUCCUUGGACCAAAAGGUUUGGUUAACCACCCCCCUCUUACUUGCUUUCACAUUUUGAGUGUCCAGAGGAAACAGAAAGGAAUGAGUGUGUGACGUUGCUGCACGCCUGACUCUGUGCGAGCUUCUUUCUGUGUAUAUAU
rnacentral:lncRNA from 1 species